rnacentral:lncRNA from 1 species
CAAGCUUGAGCAAAGGGAGAGAGGUGAGCGGAUGAAGGGAGAUUGGCAUACAACUUAGGAUUCAUAACUACAUAUAUACGGAUAGAAGUGCAUGAACAGAAAAUCUGCCCUUCUGGAAUACCAAAUGCAAAAUUAAAGUGACUACAAGCAGAAUUUGGAGAAAAAAAUAAAAGAUGCAAUAUAGUUUUUAAAAUCAUUGUUAAAAUAUAAUGAGUCUGUACUUUGCUUAAACAAUAAAAAAGUCUUCGAUUUAUA